rnacentral:rRNA from 1 species
UACGUAGGGUGCAAACGUUAUUCGGAAUCACUGGGCUUAAAGGGUGCGUAGGCGGCUAUGAAAGUCAGAUGUGAAAUCCCUCGACUCAACCGAGGAACUGCACUUGAAACUGCAUAGCUUGAGGGAGACAGAGGUGAGCGGAACUGAUGGUGGAGCGGUGAAAUGCGUUGAUAUCAUCAGGAACACCGGUGGCGAAAGCGGCUCACUGGGUCUUAUCUGACGCUGAGGCACGAAAGCCAGGGGAGCAAACGGG